CACGUAGUUAGCCGGUGCUUUUUCUGCAGUGUACCGUCACUUUCGCUUCUUCCCUACUAAAAGAGGUUUACAACCCGAAGGCCUUCGUCCCUCACGCGGCUGUUGCUGCAUCAUGGCUUUCUGCCCAUUGUGCAAUAUUCCCCACUGCUGCCUCCCUGUAGUGCCCCCCUGUGCCCCCUGCCCCA
rnacentral:rRNA from 1 species